rnacentral:rRNA from 1 species
GAUCGGCGAUCGGUGAGUAGCAAUAUUCGCUGGUUGCUGAGAAGUUGAUCAAACUUGGUCAUUUAGAGGAAGUAAAAGUCGUAACAAGGUUUCCGUAGGUGAACCUGCGGAAGGAUCAUUAUAAAAUUUUCAUAUAUUAUUUAUUUAAUAUAUAAAAUCGUAUACAAAAUGUAUUCAAAACCCACACUCUUUAUAACCAUAAAAAAAAUAUUAUUAUUUUUAUAAUAUAAAACAAACCAACUUUCAACAACGGAUCUCUUGGCUCUCGCAUCGAUGAAGAACGCAGCGAAUUGCGAUAAGUAAUGUGAAUUGCAGAAUUACGUGAAUCAUCGAAUCUUUGAACGCAUAUUGCACUCUCUGGUAAUCCGGGGAGUAUGCCUGUUUGAGGGUCAGUAAAUAAUAAUUAUCAUAAUCUUUUUUGAUUGUGGAAUUGGGCCUUUAUUUCAUUUUAAUGAUUUAUGGCCUCAAAUUUACGUUACCGCUUGUUUAAUAUGAAAUUCGACCGAAUGGAGCAAUUAAACAAAUUCUCUCGUUAGGCGGAUUCUCAUCAAGCAAUUACGAUUUUUUGGCCGACUCAGCACUUUUUAAAAGUGCUUGGCCGAGAUCGUGAGUUUUUUAACAAAUGACCUCAAAUCAGGCAAGAAUAACCGAUGAAUUUAAGCAAAUCAAUAAGCGGAGGAAA